CUGGAGCUGCAAACUGCCCUCGGGGCAGAGCAGCCUGCAGAAUAAUUGGGAGGAGUCUGGCAGGAGGGAGGCCAAGAGUGUCCACAGCUCUGCUCCUGCCCAGUAAAUGCAGUGGUGCUUUCCAAUCCUGGGAACAACCAAAACUGUCCCCGCCAGCUUCCACAAUGUCCCCGCUGAGAACCACCAACCUGGAGGAACUGAGGAAGAAGAGCAACUGCCCGUGGAGGCUUCUGGAAGCACACCGCUGCAGAGCCCACUGCUGUGAGCAAAAGGUGUGACCUCCCUGAGGAGGGACUGUGUCUAUCUGGUUGACCGUGUCCCAGUUCCUAGCACGGCGCUUGACACCAAGUGGAUGCAAAGUACUCAUGUGACCAAUGCGUGUGAGCCAAA